AUUUUUUUGACUGGGGUCCUUUCAACCAAACAAUCAUGAUGAAAGACAAGAUUGCCUUGAUAUCAACUUUGGAUCAACACGAAAAUGGAAUGAUCUAUUCUGUGGUUAUCUGAAUCGUUUUAUCUACGAAAAGAGUAAGUUUCUUCUUAUAGGGAACACAGCGACUUGUUUCCGAUUAAGCGUCUAGUGUAGGUCGGAACUUCAAAAAACUAAUACGUUGUGUUUACUGGUCAUCGGAUUGUUUCUACUUUAUCAUGUUUAUUCAAAUUUGUUAUUUCAACAUAACUUGAAUAUACAACUGUAUUUGAUCAUCAUCAACAUCACAAUUCACCCGCGGACAAGCCUCCCCAAACCAUGAUGUGUGCUUGCCAUUUGAUAUAAUACUACUAUAUAUUUAUUUUCAAAGAAACAAUCAUCGGAUUUUGUCUAAUGCUUAUUGUUAUCAAAGGUACCAGGAUUAUAAUUUAGUACGCCAUACACGCGUUUCGUCUACAAAAGACUCAUCAUUGACGCUCAUAUCAAAAUAUUUAGAAAAAACCAAACAAGUACAAAAUUGAAGAGUAUUUAGGUUCCAAAAUUCCAAAAAAUUGUGCCAAAUACGGCUAAGGUAGUAUAUGCCUGGGAUAAGAAAAUCCUUAGUUUUUCAAAAAAAUUCAAAGUUUUGUAAACAAGAAAUUUAUAAAAAUCACCGCAUUAUUGAUAUUCAUGUCAACACCGAAAUGUUGACUACUGGGCUGGUGGUACCCUCGGGGACGAAACGUCCACCAGCUUAGUUCCUUUCUGUGUGUGUCACAGUUUAAUGUUGUGUCAUUGUUCUCUUAAAUUUUUAAUGCGUUUCCUUCAGUUUUAGUUGGUAACCCGGAUUUGUUUUUUAUCUGUCGAUUUAUGAGCUUCGAACAGCGGCAUACUACUGUUAUUUAUAUAUAAAACUUUAAUUUUUCAACAGAUCUCAUUGUGUGUUGAUGUGAUUUCUGUUAUGUGAUCAUACAUCUAGUCAAAGGAAUUGUAAUGAUAUUAUAAUAUAGAAGAUUAUAUGCUUGCUUGUUAUAGAAGUAGUUCUUUAGAACCCACCUUAACUUCGGUUUUUCUCCUUAACAUAGUUAUCAAAUGUACUAGGAUUAUAAUUUAAUACGCCAGACGGGCGUUUCGUCUACAUUAGACUCAUCAGUGACGCUCAGAUCAAAAUAGUUAAAGAGCCAAACAAGUACAAAUUUGAAGAAAAUUAAGUACUCAAAUUUCCAAAAAAAUCAAAUAAUAUUUCUUAAAUCUACUUAUAAACUUUGCCACUGUAAGAGUGUUAGUAAAAUUAUCUAUGUGUCUGCUGCUGCUACUAAGCAUAUAUGUGGAAAAUCCAUCCCAAAAGUUGACAAAAAUCCUUUCAAUACUAAUUUGUCCAAAUUAAGAAAAUGAUACAUCUUUCACUCAUUAGAGAUUGUAAAUCUUAUUCCAUAAUGCCUCAACAUGGCCUUCAUUACCAUUUGAAAAAGAUUUUUUAAUUCAAAUUUCUAGACCAAAAAUAUGAAAAUAUUCAUAAUGCAAAUACAUUAUGUACAUGUAAUGCCAGACUGAGGUUAAAUGAUACAUUAAGAAUCCUUAGUUUGGUUUAAUUGAACAAAAAAAAAAAAAAAAAAAAAAUGAAAAUUCAUGAUAGAGCUCAAUUUCGACAACGUACAACAUCUUGAACAAACUAUACAUAUGUAUAUAUAGUAGUUCGAUUCCUUGCAACAUUUUCAAUAAAAACAACUCCUUUUCUUCAAAUCUAGAAAAGUUUAAAAAAACAUGCUGCUUUGAUUGCCAUUGAUAAAACUAUUAAACAGAUUCUAACCGACAUGUUUUAACACAAUUUAAAGUCAUCGAACGGUCUUGAUCAAUGAGCAAAUCCCUUAUAGUUAUAAUCUUUUUUCAUUUUACCGACUUUUGACUCGGAAUUUAUAUUUUGUUCGACAUGUUACCUUCUCUGUGGUAAGACAUACUGGUACUCGGUCAAUUACGAGUGAUAAAAAUAAGUAAAAUCAAACAUAUAAACCAUGCAGCUUGGGAGGGGGGACAUUUACUACUGUCUCAGGAUUAAGACACAUAUAGAAAGCAUAAAACAGUAAACUUUCCCUCAAAAUUAUACUUACAAAAUCUUGAAUUUACUUAUUUACGUUGCUCUUGCUUGACCAAGUACCAAUUGACCAACCACAGAGAAGGUCAUCUGUCGAAAAAGUAUAAAUUCUGGGGUCAAAAGUCGGUAAUAGGAAAAUUGUCUAUUCAGCUAUAAAGGCUCCAAAUAUGACAUAAUGUGUAGCAAAUCAUACGAAAAAAGAUUAUCGACCUUGCUGAUUUAAUCACACGAUUAAACAAAUAUUACAGAUAGCAACCAACGAUAAGAACUGAUAUUUAGUGUACAUUUUGAUUGUUUUAUAUGGAUCUCCUUUGAUAUUCAGUAUACAUUUUGGAUUGUUUUAUAUGGAUCUUCUUUGACAUUUAGUAUACACUUUGAUUGUUCUUUAUGGAUCUUCUUUGACAUUUAAUAUACAUUUUGAUUGUUCUAAAUGGAUCGUCUUUGAUAUUCAGUAUAUAUUUUGAUUGUUCUAUAUGGAUCUUCUUUGAUAUUUAGUAUACAUUUUGAUUGUUCUAUAUGGAAUCUUCUUUGAUAUUUAGUAUACAUUUUGAUUGUUCUAUAUGGAUCUUCUUUGACAUUUAGUAUACAUUUUGAUUGUUCUUUAUGGAUCUUCUUUGAUAUUUAAUUUUGAUUGUUUUUUACGGAUUUCCUUUGAUAUUCAGUAUACAUUUUGAUUGUUCUAUCUGCAUCUUCUUUGACAUUUAGUAUACAUUUUGAUUGUUCUAUAUGGAUCUUCUUUGACAUUUAGUAUACAUUUUGAUUGUUCUAUAUGGAUCUUCUUUUUUAGUAUCAUUUGAUUGUUCUUUAUCUCCUUUGAUUCAGUAUACAUUUUGAUUGUUCUAUAUGGAUUCUUUGACAUUUAGUAUAUAUUUUGUUUUUCCUGAUUUAAUUUUGAUUGUUUUAUAUGGAUCUUUGAUAUUUAGUAUACAUUUUGAUUGUUCUAUAUGGAUCCUAUACAUUUUGAUUGUUCUAUAUGGAUCUUCUUUGACAUUUAUCGAUUUGAUUGUUCUAUAUGGAUCUUCUUUAUAUUUAGUAUACAUUUUGAUUGUUCUAUAUCAAUUUUCUUUGAUAUUCAGUAUACAUUUUGAUUAUUCUAUAUGGAUCUUCUUUUAUAUUUAGUAUACAUUUUGAUUGUUCUAUAUGAAUCUUCUAUGAUAUUUAGUAUACAUUUUGAUUGUUCUAUAUGGAUCUUCUUUGAUUAUCAGUAUACAUUUUGAUUGUUCUAUAUGGACCUUCCUUGAUAUUCAGUAUACAUUUUGAUUGUUCUAUAUGAAUCUUCUUUUAUAUUCAGUAUACAUUUUGAUUGUUCUAUAUGAAUCUUCUUAUAUAUUCAGUAUACAUUUUGAUUGUUCUUUAUGGAUCUUCUUUUAUAUUCAGUAUACAUUUUGAUUGUUCUAUAUGGACCUUUCUUGAUAUUCAGUAUACAUUUUGAUUGUUCUAUAUGGAUCUUCUUUGAUUAUCAGUAUACAUUUUGAUUGUUCUAUAUGGACCUUCUUUUAUAUUCAGUAUACAUUUUGAUUGUUCUAUAUGAAUCUUCUUUUAUAUUAGACUUUGAAAUUUGAUCUUAAUUUUUUAUUAUACUUAUUUUUUCUUUUAAAUAAUUUUGUUUAAGUAUGUUUUAAAAAUGGUCAAUUCUAUUUACAGGCUUAUUACAAUAAAGAUCUGGAGGACAAAGAUUCCCUUGGAUAGAACAUCACUAUUAAUUAUGCGUUAGAACACAUGUAUUAUUCUGCAUUUGAAAAUAACAUUUGGAAAUCAAUUACUAUACACCAAAAUAAGAGCCUCUUCCUGGGGUGUUUUGGUCGUAUUUGUAGUGAUUAUUUGAAUACAAG
rnacentral:lncRNA from 1 species